UACAGAGGUCCCAAGCGUUGUUCGGAUUCACUGGGCGUAAAGGGUGCGUAGGCGGUCGGGUAAGUCUGGCGUGAAAUCUCCAAGCCUAACUUGGAGACUGCGUUGGAUACUAUCCGGCUCGAGGAAUGGAGGGGAGACUGGAAUACUUGGUGUAGCAGUGAAAUGCGUAGAUAUCAAGUGGAACACCAGUGGCGAAGGCGAGUCUCUGGACAUUUCCUGACGCUGAGGCACGAAAGCCAGGGGAGCAAACGGG
rnacentral:rRNA from 1 species